AAGAGAUGAGCUCCCAGUUGCUUUUUUUCAUCCUUCUAAGCAUCCCACCUGGCAUCUUCUCAAGUCCGCAGCUGACCCAGUCUGGCCCGGGAUUGGUGAAACCAGGAGAGUCCUUUAAACAGACUUGCACUGUCUCCGGUGUGCAAGUCGGUAGUUAUUACUGGGCCUGGCUCCGACAGCCUCCAGGGAAAACUCUGGAAUGGCUGGGCAACAUUCGGAGCACCUCUUAUGGAGGGACAGCUUACUAUAAUCCCGCACUGAGCAGUCGAACCAUUAUCACCAGGGACAUGUCCAAAAAUGAAGUGUAUCUUCAGCUGAACUCUCUGUCAGCUGCAGACACGGCGAUGUAUUAUUGUGCAAGGGACACUCUGAAGCAAAGCAAUAGAGCCUUCAUCCAGAAACCAUGCUCUGUCUACCAAUGA